UACGAAGGGGGCUAGCGUUGCUCGGAAUUACUGGGCGUAAAGGGCGUGUAGGUGGCCAACUAAGUCAGACGUGAAAUCCCUCGGCUUAACCGGGGAACUGCGUCUGAUACUGGAUGGCUUGAGACCGGGAGAGGUGAGUGGAAUUCCCAGUGUAGCGGUGAAAUGCGUAGAUAUUGGGAGGAACACCAGUGGCGAAGGCGGCUCACUGGACCGGAACUGACGCUGAGGCGCGAAAGCGUGGGGAGCAAACAGG
rnacentral:rRNA from 1 species